rnacentral:rRNA from 1 species
CUACGUGCCAGCAGCCGCGGUAAUACGGAAGGUCCGGGCGUUAUCCGGAUUUAUUGGGUUUAAAGGGAGCGUAGGCUGGAGAUUAAGUGUGUUGUGAAAUGUAGACGCUCAACGUCUGACUUGCAGCGCAUACUGGUUUCCUUGAGUACGCACAACGUUGGCGGAAUUCGUCGUGUAGCGGUGAAAUGCUUAGAUAUGACGAAGAACUCCGAUUGCGAAGGCAGCUGACGGGAGCGCAACUGACGCUUAAGCUCGAAGGUGCGGGUAUCGAACAGGAUUAGAUACCCUGGUAGUCCGCACAGUAAACGAUGGAUGCCCGCUGUCGGUACCUGGUAUCAGCGGCUAAGCGAAAGCAUUAAGCAUCCCACCUGGGGAGUACGCCGGCAACGGUGAAACUCAAAGGAAUUGACGGGGGCCCGCACAAGCGGAGGAACAUGUGGUUUAAUUCGAUGAUACGCGAGGAACCUUACCCGGGCUUGAAUUGCAGAGGAAGGAUUUAGAGAUA